UACGUAGGGGGCUAGCGUUGUCCGGAAUCAUUGGGCGUAAAGAGCGUGUAGGCGGUCCGGUAAGUCCGUUGUGAAAGUCAGGGGCUCAACCCUUGAAUGCCGGCGGAUACUGUCGGGCUAGAGUCCGGAAGAGGCGAGUGGAAUUCCCGGUGUAGCGGUGAAAUGCGCAGAUAUCAGGAGGAACGCCAAUGGCGAAGGCAGCUCACUGGGACGGUAUUGACGCUGAGACGCGAAAGCGUGGGGAGCAAACAGG
rnacentral:rRNA from 1 species